UCGAAGUCGAGCGGAUGAAGGUAGCUUGCUACUGGAUUCAGCGGCGGACGGGUGAGUAAUGCUUAGGAAUCUGCCUAUUAGUGGGGGACAACGUUCCGAAAGGAGCGCUAAUACCGCAUACGUCCUACGGGAGAAAGCAGGGGACCUUUGGGCCUUGCGCUAAUAGAUGAGCCUAAGUCGGAUUAGCUAGUUGGUAGGGUAAAGGCCUACCAAGGCGACGAUCUGUAGCGGGUCUGAGAGGAUGAUCCGCCACACUGGGACUGAGACACGGCCCAGACUCCUACGGGAGGCAGCAGUGGGGAAUAUUGGACAAUGGGGGGAACCCUGAUCCAGCCAUGCCGCGUGUGUGAAGAAGGCCUUUUGGUUGUAAAGCACUUUAAGCGAGGAGGAGGCUACCUAGAUUAAUACUUUAGGAUAGUGGACGUUACUCGCAGAAUAAGCACCGGCUAACUCUGUGGGAGCAGCCGCGGUAAUACAGAGGGUGCGAGCGUUAAUCGGAUUUACUGGGCGUAAAGCGUGCGUAGGCGGCCAAUUAAGUCAAAUGUGAAAUCCCCGAGCUUAACUUGGGAAUUGCAUUCGAUACUGGUUGGCUAGAGUAUGGGAGAGGAUGGUAGAAUUCCAGGUGUAGCGGUGAAAUGCGUAGAGAUCUGGAGGAAUACCGAUGGCGAAGGCAGCCAUCUGGCCUAAUACUGACGCUGAGGUACGAAAGCAUGGGGAGCAAACAGGAUUAGAUACCCUGGUAGUCCAUGCCGUAAACGUUGUCUACUAGCCGUUGGGGCCCUUGAGGCUUUAGUGGCGCAGCUAACGCGAUAAGUAGACCGCCUGGGGAGUACGGUCGCAAGACUAAAACUCAUAUGAAUUGACGGGGGCCCGCACAAGCGGUGGAGCAUGUGGUUUAAUUCGAUGCAACGCGAAGAACCUUACCUGGCCUUGACAUACAGAGAACUAUCCAGAGAUGGAUUGGUGCCUUCGGGAACUCUGAUACAGGUGCUGCAUGGCUGUCGUCAGCUCGUGUCGUGAGAUGUUGGGUUAAGUCCCGCAACGAGCGCAACCCAAAUCCUUAUUUGCCAGCACUUCGGGUGGGAACUUUAAGGAUACUGCCAGUGACAAACUGGAGGAUGGCGGGGACGACGUCAAGUCAUCAUGGGCCUUACGGCCAGGGCUACACACGUGCUACAAUGGUCGGUACAAAGGGUUGCUACACAGCGAUGUGAUCGAUUUCUCAAAAAGCCGAUCGUAGUCCGGAUUGGAGUCACCAUG
rnacentral:rRNA from 1 species